rnacentral:rRNA from 1 species
CCUACGGGAGGCAGCAGUGAGGGAUAUUGGUCAAUGGGGGAAACCCUGAACCAGCAACGCCGCGUGAGGGAAGACGGUUUUCGGAUUGUAAACCUCUGUCCUCUGGGAAGAUAAUGACGGUAGCAGAGGAGGAAGCUCCGGCUAACUACGUGCCAGCAGCCGCGGUAAUACGUAGGGGGGAAGCGUUGUCCGGAUUUACUGGGUGUAAAGGGGGCGUAGGCGGGAUUGCAAGUCAGAAGUGAAAUCUCUGGGCUUAACCCAGAAACUGCUUUUGAAACUGUAAGUCUUGAGUGAAGGAGAGGUAGGCGGAAUUCCUGGUGUAGCGGGGAAAUGCGUAGAGAUCGGGAGGAACACCAGUGGCGAAGGCGGCCUACUGGGCUUUAACUGACGCUGAGGCACGAAAGCGUGGGUAGCAAACAGGAUUAGAUACCCCAGUAGUC